rnacentral:rRNA from 1 species
UACCAGCACCCCGAGUGGUCGGGACGUUUAUUGGGCCUAAAGCAUCCGUAGCCGGUUCUACAAGUCUUCCGCUAAAUCCACCUGCUUAACAGAUGGGCUGCGGAGGAUACUAUAGAGCUAGGAGGCGGGAGAGGCAAGCGGUACUUAAUGGGUAGGGGUAAAAUCCGUUGAUCCAUUGAAGACCACCAGUGGCGAAGGCGGCUUGCCAGAACGCACUCGACGGUGAGGGAUGAAAGCUGGGGGAGCAAACCGG